rnacentral:rRNA from 1 species
AAUCUACCUUUUGCAGAGGGAUAGCCCAGAGAAAUUUGGAUUAAUACCUCAUAGUAUAGAACAAUCGCAUGAUUGAAUUAUUAAAGUCACAACGGCAAAAGAUGAGCAUGCGUCCCAUUAGUUAGUUGGUAAGGUAACGGCUUACCAAGACUACGAUGGGUAGGGGUCCUGAGAGGGAGAUCCCCCACACUGGUACUGAGACACGGACCAGACUCCUACGGGAGGCAGCAGUGAGGAAUAUUGGACAAUGGGCGCAAGCCUGAUCCAGCCAUGCCGCGUGCAGGAUGACGGUCCUAUGGAUUGUAAACUGCUUUUGUACAGGAAGAAACACCUCUACGUGUAGAGACUUGACGGUACUGUAAGAAUAAGGAUCGGCUAACUCCGUGCCAGCAGCCGCGGUAAUACGGAGGAUCCAAGCGUUAUCCGGAAUCAUUGGGUUUAAAGGGUCCGUAGGCGGUCUUAUAAGUCAGUGGUGAAAUCUCCCCGCUCAACGGGGAAACGGCCAUUGAUACUGUAAGACUUGAAUUAUUAGGAAGUAACUAGAAUAUGUAGUGUAGCGGUGAAAUGCUUAGAGAUUACAUGGAAUACCAAUUGCGAAGGCAGGUUACUACUAAUGGAUUGACGCUGAUGGACGAAAGCGUGGGUAGCGAACAGGAUUAGAUACCCUGGUAGUCCACGCCGUAAACGAUGGAUACUAGCUGUUGGGGGCAACUUCAGUGG